rnacentral:lncRNA from 1 species
UGCCCUGUGGAUAGCUCAGGGACGUGGUGAAAUGACAGCUGCUGAGAGAGAGAGGAGCGGGAGGAGGAGAAGGGCGCAUUCUUUCUGGAGGGGGAGGUCCAGUCAAAUUGGAGUUUGAGGGAAUCCUGGGAUUUAAAAAGUCCUGGUUCCAGGCUGGCCGCGGUGGCUCGCAUCUGUAAUCCCAGCACUUUGGGAGGCCGAGGCCGGCGGAUCACGAGGUCAGGAGUUCGACACCAGCCUGACCAGCAUGGUGAAACCCUGUCUCUACUAAAAAUACAAAAUUAGCCGGGCGUGGUGGCGCGUGACUGUAAUCCCAGCUACCCAGGAGGCUGAGGCAGGAGAAUCGCUUGAAGAGGCAGAGGUUGCAGUGUGCCAAGUUCGGGCCACUGCACUCCAGCUUGGCAACAGAGCGAGACUCCGUCUCAAAAAAGAAAAAAAAAAAAGUCCCCUUUUCCAGCCUUCUCAACUCCCCUCAGACGGGGCUUCUAGAGCAGGAAGGUGAAGAGGGAAGCAAGUCCUUCCUUGAGUCAGGGAGGGGCCAGAAGACCUAAUUAGGCCUGGCUUUGUGGGUUUUUUGGGGUGUGUGUGUGUGUUUUCCUCUAUCUUUCUCUGUGUGACUCCUUUUAAGGGAAAGGACACCUGCGCUUUGUAUUGGGGGUAGGAAGAUUGGUUUCCAUGAUGAUGAGGAGGAGACAAACACUUGCUGCCUAGGCUACAGGUCCCCUAGAGCCAUUUGGCCCUCUUUCUCCUCCCCUUUCCAGUCCAGGGCCUGGGAAGCUUGGCUGUGUCUGUCUAGUGUCAAUUUUGAUUCCUCUCUGCUGCCAUUCUCCCCCUAGACUGGCACCUCUGCUGGGAGGGGCCGGGUAACCGGCUUCGCCUCUGCAAGACUAGAGAGAAGGCAUCCGCCUCAGCACAGGAGACGCGGCCGCCGCAGAAAUAAGGGUCUCUGCCCCAACGGAACAAGCGCAGCCCACAGUCCGGAAAAGGGUGUGGCCGGCCGAGGAGUGCGGGGGAGUGUGCGCCGCGGGCACUGCAGCAGCCGCACCACCUCCUCCCGUAGCCCUCCCUCCGUCCAGCAGCCGCCUCUGCCGCGCUGCAGUCUGGCGGCUGGAGGCUUGAAGGUGGCUGCCCGAGGGUCGUCCAGGGGCCGGGGCUGGGUCCUAGCGGGUACCCGGGGAUAAAAGCGAGAAAAGAGAGAACCGUAUGGCUUUAAGUAGGUAAAAAGUCUCGAGGAGGAUGGGAAAGACUAGGGAAACCUUUGAGAGGUAACGGGACCAGGAUUUCCAGGAGCAGCAAAGCCGCGAGUGGCACCAAAAGCAAGAGGGACGUUCAAGAUGGCUUGGCUAGGAGGGAGAGCUUCGGCUGAGACGGGGUCCCCAGAUGUUAUUACUGCUGUUGCCCAAGUAGAGGAAGAAGUCCUGAUUCUGUGGAAGGAUCCAGUCUGGGCAUGCGAAAGGGUGGGUGGGGAGAGUGAGCAGUCGGUUCCAAGAGUGGCGCGUCCAGCAGGCAGGCGGCUAGCGGGGAGAGAGGGGAAAGUCUGGGGCCCACUGUCCCAAGGCAGGGAGCUGACUCUAGGCAUAAGGAGGAAAAGCCCCAGAUGGAAGGGGUGGAAGGGGGCUAUGCUGCACAGAGGACCGAGGGUGGUCGCUCACCCAGGCAGGUAGCUCUCGAUGACUCAUAUAGAGAGUUUUCGCAGUGAGCUGCUCCUCGUCGUCCAGUAGCUGCCUCGCUGCUCGAAGGCUCCGUUCUUUCUCGUCGCGGACCCGGCGCCAGCCCAGGUAGAGGGCGAGGCCGAAGAGCACGAAACCCACGCUGAGUCCCACUGCCCCGGCCAAAUACACAGGGUAUUUUUUUCUUCUAAAACCAGUGCUGGAACCUGUGCUGUGCAGAAGAGAGGACAAGACGAGGGAUGUUCCCAAAUUCCCAUAAGAGGACACAGCCCCUCAGUCAGUCCUUCCUCUCUGCUGGCUUCAGUCUGCACUCCUCUGCAAGCCCCCACUGUGAGGCUUGAAGAUGGACAAGAGGACCCUCAUAAAAGGGAGGUGACGGAACUUGCACUUGGCUCCUCUCUGACAGUCACCCUUGAGAAAGUCACGGCAGAUAGGGACCUCCUCCUUGCCAUUUGGUAGGUCAGCCGGUGAAAGGCCAAGGCCAGCUGCUACUUUCUGCCUCAGCCGUGGGGGAAGCUCUCCUGUCUUCUUAUAGCCAUCCUCAUCCUCCUUGGAGCCAUGGAUGAAACGGCAAUUUGGGCGGCUACACUCCUUGUUCUGGAAGUCAUGGCAGAAGAUGAACUCGUUUUUGCUCACCCCCAAGUUGGACACCUCGCUCAUGUCUGGGUGGCGAUAUCGGCAACGCUUGCCUCGCUUGCACACAUUCCUCAAGAAGUCUC